rnacentral:rRNA from 1 species
GACGAACGCUGGCGGCGUGCUUUAGACAUGCAAGUCGAACGGAGUAGCAAUACUCAGUGGCAUACGGCGGAGUAAUACAUAAACAACGUGCCCUGAAGACUGGGAUAGCCAGCCGAAAGGCUGAGUAAUACCAGAUGUGGCCCCUUGGAGGCAUCUCCUUGGGAUUAAAUGGUUUUUCGCUUCAGGAGCGGUUUACGGCCUAUCAGCUUGUUGGUGGGGUAAUGGCCUACCAAGGCUACGACGGGUAGCGGGUCUGAGAGGAUGAUCCGCCCGAGUGGGACUGAGACACGGCCCACACACCUACGGGUGGCUG